GACGAACGCUGGCGGCGUGCUUAACACAUGCAAGUCGAACGAUGAAGCCGGAGCUUGCUCUGGUGAAUUAGUGGCGAACGGGUGAGUAACACGUGAGUAACCUACCCUUGACUCUGGGAUAACUGCGGGAAACUGUAGCUAAUACCGGAUACGACCCUCGGAGGCAUCUCCUGGGGGUGGAAAGAAUUUCGGUGAAGGAUGGACUCGCGGCCUAUCAGCUAGUUGGUGAGGUAAAGGCUCACCAAGGCGACGACGGGUAGCCGGCCGGAGAGGGUGACCGGCCACACUGGGACUGAGACACGGCCCAGACUCCUACGGGAGGCAGCAGUGGGGAAUAUUGCACAAUGGGCGCAAGCCUGAUGCAGCAACGCCGCGUGAGGGAUGACGGCCUUCGGGUUGUAAACCUCUUUUAGCAGGGAAGAAGCGAAAGUGACGGUACCCGCAGAAAAAGCACCGGCUAACUACGUGCCAGCAGCCGCAGUAA
rnacentral:rRNA from 1 species